rnacentral:SRP_RNA from 1 species
GCUGGGCGUGGUGGUGCACGCCUGUAGUCCCAGUUACUUGGAGGCUGAGACAGGAGAAUUGCUUGAUCCUAGGAGGCAGACAUUGCAGUGAGCUGAGAUUGCACCACUGCACUCCAGCCUAGGAGACAGAGAGAGACUCUGUCUCAA